CUACCGCGCGCCCGGGCAUCAGGUUACGGUUUAGCUCAAAGAGAGGCGCAAAGCGGGGGACGUCUGGUUCCAAGCAGUGAACGAGAAAGAGCCAGAGGAGGGAGAGAGAGCAAGUCCUGACCCGUGGUAGACUAGACCACUUCUAACUAUGAGUCCCUCGUCUACCAGCCUACUGUACAAUAAAUAACUCCAGACUCAGGGACAAAGAGGACAUUGCUAAAGCCCAGCCUACUGCUGCGUGGUGGGCAUCCGGGCAGUGCAUGCACGAAUACAUGCUCCAGCUCAGUUGGACCUCUCACAUGUUCUAUCUAGGACGAAUAGGAAAUAUUCACUACAUUAAGUCACUGCAGUUCCCCUGCUCUGGGGGAAGAGAGGAGAAGGGUGGGAUGAGGAGAAGAGACGGAUAAAGUGUGUUCUGACGGGAGUUCUGACUGAUGGAUGCGUGUUGUCAUCUAUUCUAUGAAGUAAAGCGACAGAUACAGAGAGCGUUGCUGGGAGAUGGUAUUCACCUGACAAAGACAUCGGCCGUUAGGCUACCCUCCUGACAGCAGUACUAGCCUGCAGAGAAACCUCGGUAUAGGUUACCUGAUCUAACGAGGAACCGGAUCGGUGUGACAUUAGGGACACAUACGCGAAGAAAGAACUUCCCCCGUUUCUUAGCUGCAAGUCAACGGUAUCACAUUGGCUUUCAUCCCGCCUUGAACCUCUUAACAACCGUAAUUUAGAGCCAACCGCUGUUGACACGAGCGCUUUGCGGACGGUUCAACCAAGGACAGCAGAGGUUUGAACGGGGAUCUGAAGACACGUCGGACAGAGAGACAUGUAUCUAACAUCGACCUCAUAUGCACCCGACUGACAAACACACAAGCCACAGAAGAAAGCGGUAGAUAGCGGCUACUGCACCGCCACGCGCACGGCGGGUCCGGUGCUCUCCCCGGCUCACUCUGUCUCCCGGUUGUGAGAAUGGCAGGGGUCGCGUGUUGGAAAUGUUACCUCUGGAUCUUUAUUGUCGUGUUUAGGUCGACGUUACCUUCUGACGCCAAAUCACUGGAAACUAUAAUGUGGAGCACUCAGAAUGCAAAGUUCCUGUCAGGUAGAGGGGUGGUCAUCUACCCAGAUAUCGGGGACAAGCUGGACAUUAUCUGCCCCAAGGCUGAGCCAGGACGAGACUAUGAGUUCUAUAAGCUGUACCUGGUCAGGAGGGAGCAGGCAGAGGGGUGCAGCACGGUCAUGGACCCCAACGUACUGGUCAACUGUAACAAGCCAGAGAAGGACAUCAAGUUCACCAUCAAGUUCCAGGAGUUUAGUCCCAACUAUAUGGGCCUGGAGUUUAAGAAGAAUAUGAAUUACUACAUCACAUCCACAUCCAAUGGUUCAGUCGAAGGCCUGGAGAACAGAGAGGGAGGAGUCUGUAAGACCAAGGCCAUGAAAGUGGUUAUGAAGGUCGGACAAGACCCCAACACUGUUCUACCAGACCCUGUAUUACCAGAGGAACCCGAGAGAGGGAAGGACAACGCUCUGGGAGGAGACUUCAGUCCUAGCCCUGAGGACAACCAGCUGCCUGGAGCAGGAGAGCCAGGCAACACUGACUCUAUAAACCAGGACAACAGGUCAGGAGGUUCCAGCAGCAGUGACAGCAUCCUGGGGUCAAAGGUUGCUGUGUUUUCAGCCAUCGGAGCUGGCUGCAUCAUCUUCCUCCUCCUCAUCCUCUUUCUCGUCAUCCUGCUCAUCAAGAUGAGGAAGAGAGUCCAGAAGCACUCUCACGCCCAGCCACACCCCUCCACCAUGGCACUCAGCACGCUGUCCAAUCAGAGCAAGCUGCCUGGCAGCGGGGGCACAGCCGGGACGGAACCCAGUGACAUCAUCAUCCCACUGCGGACGGAGAAUAACUACUGCCCUCACUACGAGAAGGUGAGCGGUGACUACGGACACCCUGUUUAUAUCGUACAGGAGAUGCCUCCGCAGAGCCCAGCCAACAUCUACUACAAAGUCUGAGAGGAGGAGAGGAGAGAACAUCUACUACAAAGUCUGAGAGAGGAGGAGAGGAGAGAACAUCUACUACAAAGUCUGAGAGAGGAGGAGAGGAGAGAACAUCUACUACAAAGUCUGAGAGGAGGAGAGGAGAGAACAUCUACUACAAAGUCUGAGAGAGGAGGAGAGGAGAGAACAUCUACUACAAAGUCUGAGAGGAGGAGAGGAGAGAUGGAACAUCCACUUCAGUGUGAGUUGAAGAGAGAAGGACAGGAGAGAUGGAACAUCCACUGCAGUGAACCUUGUCAGUUCCCUCACCGUGUACUGUGACCCCUCUGCCUGACUGGCUGUCAGCUACGGACCCAUUGAGGAGGAGUCUGAAAAGAAAGCCUCUUCCUCAGACUCACCUUCCUCCUCCUCGUCUCCAUCUCCCAUCCUGACCACCUACCUCUCUAGUCGGCGCCCCUCCCACCCCAGCACUAUAGCAUGACUAGACCCAGCCUCAUCUACACCACCAUCUAUAACAUGACUAGACCCAGCCUCAUCUACACCACCAUCCUCUGUAAUAAACGGAAGCAGAUUCGCAACUACAACCCUUGUUGAAGGAGUCGAAAGAGGAGAAAUCAGCACCAACACAUCCCCUACAAAUAUUCCUCUAGCAAUCAGCCUACCCACCAAAUUCACUAUUUUCAUGAACACAACCAGAGCUUUGUUCAUUCUGGAAGCAGAAUGUCUAAAUUCUGUUCACUGACCACGAGCAGGACCUCCUCCACUUUAACUCCAUUCUCAGGAACGCACCUGAAUCCAUGUCGUAACGACAGUGUCUCCUCCACGCUAGGCUGAGACGCCAUCACACACACUACACCUUCCAAACCCCAAGAAACUAAAACUCUGUCCUCUUCCAACCUAACUUUGAAAAAAACAGCAGGUACCGCUAAACUAAGUGUGUUAACUCUCCACCGUAGAAAAUAAACCAACAGUGUUAACCCUCCAUCAUAGACAAUAAACUAACAGUGUUAACCCUCCACCAUAGACAAUAAACUAACAGUGUUAACCCUCCACCAUAGACAAUAAACUAACAGUGUUAACUCUCCACCAUAGACAAUAAACUAACAGUGUUAACCCUCCACCAUAGACAAUAAACUAACAGUGUGUUAACCCUCCACCAUAGACAAUAAACUAACAGUGUUAACUCUCCACCGUAGACAAUAAACUAACAGUGUUAACCCUCCACCGUAGAAAAUAAACUAACAGUGUUAACUCUCCACCGUAGACAAUAAACUAACAGUGUUAACCCUCCACCAUAGACAAUAAACUAACCGUGUUAACCCUCCACCAUAGACAAUAAACUAACAGUGUGUUAACCCUCCACCAUAGACAAUAAACUAACCGUGUGUUAACCCUCCACCAUAGACAAUAAACUAACCGUGUGUUAACCCUCCAACAUAGACAAUAAACUAACCGUGUGUUAACCCUCCAACAUAGACAAUAAACUAACCGUGUGUUAACCCUCCAACAUAGACAAUAAACUAACCGUGUGUUAACCCUCCACCAUAGACAAUAAACUAACCGUGUGUUAACCCUCCAACAUAGACAAUAAACUAACCGUGUGUUAACCCUCCACCAUA